AGGGGGGCGGCUCAGACGUUGCUCGAGGGUGUGCGGCCAGGCACAGUAAACAUCCAGCGCUCCUGCCGAAUUCGCCGUUUUGAAGCCCUGCAUACAGGCUGGCUGAAGGGUGCCAUGAGGUAUUCAGGUGUGACUAAACUAGGAGAAGGUGACACAAGAACUGCUGUGUGCAAAACAUAAACCUGCUGCUUUCUCCAGCUUCAAGUGGUCGCACAUUUAAAUCGCAGGCGGACAGUGAAAAUAAAAAUAGGUGUCAGUCAAGGAAAAUAUGUGAGAAAAGCAGAUCCCACACUUCAGCUCUGGGCCAGACUAAGAAGGAACAUCGUGUCGCUAAAAAGAUAAGGACCUGGGAUGCGCAUGCCCAGAGCUGCCCGUCAGAAGUCACAUUUUUUGUAAGCCCUGAGUUUCUAGAUCUUCAGGGCCCCCGAAGAGGGUUCAGCCCAUGAGGCUUUCCCCGUGCAGAAAUAAAGGACGCGCUCAGUUUUCUUGCUGCCUCUGCAGCGCAGUUUGUACAUCGCUUUGCAGCGUAACAAUUGGUCCCGUGGGAUUCCCGUGCAUCUGCAGCGAGGCAUCUCCUCUUGUUGUACAAGCAUGGCAUAGGAUGUGGCCGUGCCGAGGGACAUAUUCUUGUGAACAUCUGGGUUUGUUGAUUCAGCGUGUGUGGGAAGAGGAAGGGGGGAGCACAGAAAGUAUCUCAAAAAAGAAAAGCUUACACGGGCUCUUUGGAGUGAUCUCUUUCUCUUUCUCUCUCCUAAAAAGCUAGAUUUUUGCUUUUUGUCUUUGAAACGAGCAAAGUAAGAUUUUGCACUUGCCUGCUGCAUCUGUUUUCUCAAGCAAAGACCUGUUUGUUUUUCCCAUUGUGUCUGAACCGUAUUUGAAACAGACCACUGAGCCAAGUUACAUCAAGCCUGUUUCUUUUCUUUUCUACUUCUGAACUAUGACAGAUUAUCCUAACCCAUC